GAUGAACGCUGGCGGCGUGCCUAAUACAUGCAAGUCGAGCGAACAGACGAGGAGCUUGCUCCUCUGACGUUAGCGGCGGACGGGUGAGUAACACGUGGAUAACCUACCUAUAAGACUGGGAUAACUUCGGGAACCCGGAGCUAAUACCGGAUAAUAUAUUGAACCGCAUGGUUCAAUAGUGAAAGACGGUUUUGCUGUCACUUAUAGAUGGAUCCGCGCCGCAUUAGCUAGCUGGUAAGGUAACGGCUUACCAAGGCAACGAUGCGUAGCCGACCUGAGAGGGUGAUCGGCCACACUGGAACUGAGACACGGUCCAGACUCCUACGGGAGGCAGCAGUAGGGAAUCUUCCGCAAUGGGCGAAAGCCUGACGGAGCAACGCCGCGUGAGUGAUGAAGGUCUUCGGAUCGUAAAACUCUGUUAUUAGGGAAGAACAAAUGUGUAAGUAACUAUGCACGUCUUGACGGUACCUAAUCAGAAAGCCACGGCUAACUACGUG
rnacentral:rRNA from 1 species